rnacentral:rRNA from 1 species
GCCGGAUUAGCUAGUUGGCGGGGUAAUGGCCCACCAAGGCGACGAUCCGUAGCUGGUCUGAGAGGAUGAUCAGCCACACUGGAACUGAGACACGGUCCAGACUCCUACGGGAGGCAGCAGUGGGGAAUAUUGGACAAUGGGCGCAAGCCUGAUCCAGCCAUGCCGCGUGAGUGAAGAAGGCCUUCGGGUUGUAAAGCUCUUUUGUUGGGGAAGAAAAGCAUUCGGUUAAUACCCGGGUGUUCUGACGGUACCCAAAGAAUAAGCACCGGCUAACUUCGUGCCAGCAGCCGCGGUAAUACGAAGGGUGCAAGCGUUACUCGGAAUUACUGGGCGUAAAGCGUGCGUAGGUGGUUCGUUAAGUCUGAUGUGAAAGCCCUGGGCUCAACCUGGGAACUGCAUUGGAUACUGGCGAUCUGGAGUGCGGUAGAGGGUGGCGGAAUUCCCGGUGUAGCAGUGAAAUGCGUAGAUAUCGGGAGGAACAUCCGUGGCGAAGGCGGCCACCUGG